rnacentral:rRNA from 1 species
AUGGCGGCGGCGGCGGCGGCGGAGGGGUCCGGGGCAGAGGGCCGCGGCGAGGCCGGCGGCGGCGGCAGGCGGCAGCAGCAGCAGCAGGGGCUGGCGGAGCGCCGGAUGCUCCGGUCCCAGUACCACGCCAUGAAGAGCCUCAUCAACGAGGAGAGGGAUGACAUGGCGAAGGAGGACUCCGACAAGUUCGCCUCCAUCAUCACGCAGGUGGAGAGCUUGCACGAGCAAGUGCAGAGACCCAGGGAGCAAGUAGCGGAUGCAGAGGCUCUGCUGGACAUCACAAGCACGUUGGUAAAAUCCGUGAGGUCCCAGUCAAGUGAAGGAAUCACACCUUCUGAUUUCGUAACAGCAUUGCUGAAGAAAUUUGGGCAGCAAGCAACCCUUGAUUCCGAGCCUGUCUCGUUGCGCUGGGCUGAUGUUGGGCUUUCUGCUUCACAUGUCUUCAGGGCUGCGCCUGGAUGCUGCACCAUGCUUGGACCCAUGGAUACAGAAGUAAAGCAGCGUAAGCUUUCAGUUGUUAGUAGAAAAAGAAGUGCCAGGCCAACUGAAAAUACUUGUCCAGAAGAGCUUGCCGAUUCUUCGGAGGGAGCAAAGACAGACACUGACCGGAAUGUGACUGUUGUAUUUGAUAUCCUGAGGAAAAAUAAGCGUGCGAGGCUGGAGACCCUUGUUUUGAACAGACAAUCAUUUGCCCAAACGGUUGAGAAUGUUUUUGCACUGUCUUUCCUAGUUAAAGAUGGCAGAGUGGCAAUAAACAUUGAUGACAAUGGGCACCAUAUAGUCUAUCCACGAAAUGCGCCUGCUGCUAGUGCCAUAGCGUCAGGAGAAGUGUCCUACAGCCAUUUUGUUUUCAGAUAUGAUUACAGAGAUUGGAAGCUUAUGAAAGAAGUCGUCCCUGAAGGGCAAGAACUGAUGCCGCACAGGACGGCGCACAGCCUCUCUGCUGAAGAGCGAGAACAGAUGGAGCCAUGUGCGCAACGAACACCGAUAAGGAAACUUUGCCGGAACCGAGGUUUGGUUCUUCAGGAGCAGAUGGUUGUUGCAGAGACACCCGAGGAGGACAGAAGCUCCAAACGCAAGCGUCUAUUCAUAGAUCAGGAGUGA